ACAGCUCUCCCGAGCGUCCUGCGGAAUCACUGGGCUUAAAGCGUCUCUAGGCGGAUCUCUAAUUCCCUUUUUCCUUCCCCCUUCUCCCCCUUUUCCCUUCUGUGUAUACUGGCGGUCUUGAGCCACCUAGGGGCGAGCGGAACAAGCGGUGGAGCGGUGAAAUGCGUAGAUAUCGCUUGGAACGCCGACGGUGAAAACAGCUCGCUGGGGGUGUGCUGACGCUGAGACACGAAAGCCAGGGGAGCGAACAG
rnacentral:rRNA from 1 species